ACAGGUGGAGAUGCUGAGGCCCAGAGAAGACAGGACAUGCCCUCUUGCCACCCUGGCCUGCGACACCCACCUCAGCGCUGCGGCUCCUGGCCUCCAUAGCUCUGCAGAGAGUCACCUGGGGCUCAGUCUCCUGUUUCCUCUCCUUCUGCUGUAGGACCAGCUUCAGCUCCUCAUGGAGCAGCUGCCGCUGAGCCUGGGGGAGGCCCCCGUGGGGUGAUACGCAGCCGUAAGCAGGGAUCUCACUCUUCCGCUGAGGUCUUGCUGCCUGUCAAGGAGAGACAAAGGACCGUGGGACACCAGACAGGCCCGGGAAGACAAAGAUGGCCUCCCAAAUGCUGGGGUUACAGGCCUGUGUCACCAUUUGGAGUUUCCUGAACCCCUGCUUCACUUCUGAAAAUGCGCCCUUUGAGAGGCCAAGCAAACCUGUGCCCGUUUGGGGGCACACAACUCAAGAAAAAGGCCCAGGGAAGGCAGCCUCCAGCCAGGCCCAUCUGGAGACACGGAGGAGGAGACCGUCUCUGCACUCGGCCCCCACCUGGCAUGCCAGCCCGCCAACCCUGCCACACAGGAAAAGCCUCCCAGAACCCUAGGAGCUGUUGGGCCCAGACUGGCCAGCUGAUUAUUUCUUACCUGUGAGCCUGCAGGCACCUCCAGAGCUCCUGGUCUGUCUGUCAGCCCCAGCCUUGAGCUGGGAGGGAAAAGGGAUGGGAAGGGGGAGGAGAGGAAGGGGGACCCUGGCCAUUGGCUGCCCUGCUUUGAUGUCACCACAGGGUGGGUGGUGGGGAAACAAACAUCCCCUUCUCUGCACUACAUCCUUCAGCAAGGGGGUGGGGAUCUGGCACCAUCACCCGCUCCCUUGCCAAAGCCCAGACCUCCACCCCAGCCCUGGUUCAAGAAUUUGCAUACCACCCCCAUUGGAACACUCAGCACUGAGCCUGCAUCAUCUCUGGGCUCCUGGACCCAGGCCUAGCUCACACAGUCCCUGAGACUCCCAAGACAACCUUCUACACUGUCUCCCUGAUAACCUGGUUCAAAUCCCAGCUCAGGCACUCCUGGCUAUUGGAACUUCAGCAAUCACAGGGCAUCUCUGGGCUUCAAUUUCUUUGUCUUUGAAAUAGGGUAGUAAACACUCUGAAGGCAGGGGCAGGCAGAUCUCUGAGUUUUGAGUUCGAGGUCAGCCUGGUCUACAGAGGGAGGGCCAGCUAAUGCUACACAGAGAAACCUGUAAAAAAAAAAUGCUUAUCUUUUGUAAUAGUUUUAACGUUGUGAUGGGUCAAAUGAGUUUUAAAACUUAAGGUGGGGCCAGUGAGAUGGCUCAGCACAGGAAGGCCCUUGCCAUUAUGCCCAAGGAUCUAAAUUCAGUCCGAGCCCACAUGAUGAAAAUCGAGAACUAACUCAUGCAAACUGUCCUAUGACUUACACACACACAAACACAGCCUGUGACACUUAUGCGCACUCAAUAAAUAAAUGGAGUUGGAAAAGAAAGGCUAAGGCAGGGGCUUAGCAGUUAAGAUCAUUCGCUGGUCCUCCAGAGGACCCACGUUUGGCUCCCAUCCCCACCUAGAGUGGUCUAUGAUCAUCAGUAACUUCAGUUCCCCAGGAGCCAGUACCUCUGGCCUCUGCAGGCACCUAUCUGUCCUCCCAUGGCCACAAGCAGACUCUCUUACACAUAAUUAAAAAUAAUAACAAAUCUUUAAAAAAAAAAUAAAGACAAAAGCAGGCCAGGAGGCAGUGGCCCACGCCUUUAAUCCCAGCACUCAGGAGGCAGAGGCAGGCAGAUCCCUAUGAGUUUGAGGCCAGCCUGGUCUACAGAGCUAGUUCCAGGACAGCCAAGGUUACACAGAAGAACCCUGUCUCAAACAAAAACAAAAACGAAAAUAGUCACAAAAAU